AUACGUAGGGGGCGAGUGUUAUCCGGAUUUAUUGGGCGUAAAGCGUGUGUAGGCGGUCUAUUAAGUCUAAGAUCAAAGUCCGAGGCUCAACCUCGGUUCGUCUUAGAUACUGGGUGUCUAGAGUGUGGAAGAGGUAAGUGGAAUUCCGAGUGUAGAGGUGAAAUUCGUAGAUAUUCGGAGGAACACCAGUGGCGAAGGCGGCUUACUGGUCCAUUACUGACGCUGAGGUGCGAAAGCGUGGGGAGC
rnacentral:rRNA from 1 species